rnacentral:tRNA from 1 species
UUCUAUCGACCGUUUUAGAAACAUCAGCGGCCACGAUCGUCAGGAUCGUAGAGCUGCAUAGGCGGGAUUUCGCCGUCUUCGUUUCUCUUUCUUCGCGGACGAACACGCGCUGGGCCUGCGAGAGCAGGGUCCCUGGUCCUUGACGGGAUAUGCGUUAGGGGCUUGUAGCUCAGUUGGUUAGAGCGCGCGCUUGAUAAGCGUGAGGUCGGAAGUUCAAGUCUUCCCAGGCCCACCACACUCAUCGGGUAAGCAUUCGUCUUCUGGUUACGGGGCCAUAGCUCAGCUGGGAGAGCGCGUGCUUUGCAAGCAUGAGGUCGUCGGUUCGAUCCCGUCUGGCUCCACCAGAUGGUUUGAUCACCGACGCUGUGUUUGCAGCUAUUCAACCGUCGUCCGCGAAACAUCACUUCGCACCUACUAGUCUGGAUAGACAGUAGGUUGCGUGAUUUCUGACAUCGUAAAGAGGAGAUCGAUCCGAGUUGGAUCGGGCAGCAAGCAAUUGCUGCGCGAACCUUCAUUAUCUCCGGAUCAUUUCGGCGCUCGCGCGCCUUUCAAUGCGGCUCACAAGGCUGCGUCUGAGGGGAAUGCGGGUUGUAAAUGAUCCUUUUAGCGAAGCUUGACCGCCUCGCUAUCGGAACGAUCUUACGAAGCAAGCUGGUCUUUCUAAUCAUUGUCCGGCUGUACGUAGCGUUCAUCGAGGGCGCGUGCCGCAAGGCAAUCGUACAGACAACAUUCUGCCGAGUGUGUGGACAUUGAUAAUGAGAGCAAUCAAGUGCCUUAAGGGUGUUCGUGGAUGCCUUGGCGCUGAGAGG